AAAACACAUACCGAAACUUUUUAGUCCCUGUGUAAUAAGGUUGAUAGGAGUUAAACAUCAAAACAAAACAUUGAAGUUUUGGAAAGUGAUGUGAAACCAUGUAAGCAGAUGUUGGAACAUGAAGUUAUAUACAACAUUUAAUGAUAAUGAAACAGAAAAGAUAAAAUUUUGAGCAGAA